CCUACGGGAGGCAGCAGUGGGGAAUAUUGCACAAUGGGGGAAACCCUGAUGCAGCGAUGCCGCGUGGAGGAAGAAGGUUUUCGGAUUGUAAACUCCUUUUAUCAGGGACGAUAAUGACAGUACCUGUAUAAAAAGCUCCGGCUAACUCGGUGCAAGCAGCGGCGGUAAUACGUAGGGAGCGAGCGUUUUCCGGAAUUACUGGGUGUAAAGGGAGCGUAGGCGGGCUGGCAAGUCAGAUGUGAAAACUGAGGGCUCAACCUUCAAACUGCAUUUGAAACUGCUGUUCUUGAGUGAAGUAGAGGUAAGCGGAAUUCCUAGUGUAGCGGUGAAAUGCGUAGAGAUUAGGCAGAACAUCGGUGGCGAAGGCAGCUUACUGG
rnacentral:rRNA from 1 species